CAAAAUAGAGCAUGAAAAAUAAUGCAUGUCACUUACAAUGACACGAUAGACUUAGUCUUAUUUUGA
rnacentral:tRNA from 1 species